rnacentral:tRNA from 1 species
AUACUUAGUAUAAUUUUAUAUAUUUAACUUCCAAUUAAAAGAUCUUUAUUUUAAGAGUA